GAUGAACGCUGGCGGCGUGCCUAAUACAUGCCAGUCGAGCGAACGGACGAGAAGCUUGCUUCUCUGAUGUUAGCGGCGGACGGGUGAGUAACACGUGGAUAACCUACCUAUAAGACUGGGAUAACUUCGGGAAACCGGAGCUAAUACCGGAUGAUAUUUUGAACCGCAUGGUUCAAAAGUGAAAGACGGUCUUGCUGUCACUUAUAGAUGGAUCCGCGCUGCAUUAGCUAGUUGGUAAGGUAACGGCUUACCAAGGCAACGAUGCAUAGCCGACCUGAGAGGGUGAUCGGCCACACUGGAACUGAGACACGGUCCAGACUCCUACGGGAGGCAGCAGUAGGGAAUCUUCCGCAAUGGGCGAAAGCCUGACGGAGCAACGCCGCGUGAGUGAUGAAGGUCUUCGGAUCGUAAAACUCUGUUAUUAGGGAAGAACAUAUGUGUAAGUAACUGUGCACAUCCUGACGGUACCUAAUCAGAAAGCCACGGCUAACUACGUG
rnacentral:rRNA from 1 species